rnacentral:rRNA from 1 species
GGGUCAGUAGGUUGGUCGUGCCACCGGUACGUACUGGUCUCACUGAUUCCUCCUUCCUGAAGAACCGUAACGCCAUUAAUUUGGUGUUGCGGGGAGACAGGACUGUUACUUUGAAAAAAUUAGAGUGUUUAAAGCAAGCUAACGCUUGAAUACAUUAGCAUGGAAUAAUGAAAUAGGACGAUCGAUCCUAUUUUGUUGGUUUCUAGGAUUGACGUA